GUUGGUGUAGCUCAGUGGCAGAGUUCCUGCUUUAAAUGUAUGAUGUCCUGGGUUCAAUCCCCAGUGUCUCCA
rnacentral:tRNA from 1 species